AAGGGCCGAAAGCUUCCCCUGGGGAUUUUUCUGGGAUCGCCCCGGGCGUGGGUUUUCCUCUACGGACGAGCGGAGCACGGGCAGGACGCGCAGCCUCCGGGAUUGGCGAAAGCGGGGAGGAAAAGGCCGGGCUGGAGGCAAAUCCCAUUUCAGAUCCCCCCUGAACGCCGGGCUGGGAACUGAACAUCCCGAUCGGAGCGAGCUGCGGUGGAUGGAGGAUCAGAAUAAAAGAUUGUUUUUCCACAUGGGGCUGAGCAGCCGGGGUUUGGCUUCUGAUGUCCAUCCAAAACACGUGGGUGGGGAAGGAAUGCUCUGUUUUCAGUCAGCAAUGGAAUCACUGGUUUAAUUUUAGCCUCUCCGGAGCAAAGCUUGCAGAAAGGAGUUCCCAGAGCAAAGAACCCUAAGGAGAAGAGGAGCUGGAGUCUCCAUGUGGCCCCCAGGAAUAGUGGUGUGCCCCCAAGCUGGUGCUGCUGAGCGCCCAAAAUUCAUGGUUCUUCUUAAAAACCUGGAUGUGACUCAUCUGUGCAGGUCAGGAGAAGCGUUGGGACAUCGUGGAGCUGUUGGGAAGACAAGGAGAAGCCAUGGAUGUGCCAAGCUCCAUCAAAAGGUGCCCCACCAAUACACAGGGAGCUUCAGUGGGUGAAAUGUGUAGGAAAAAUUGGUCCCAGGAGGAAUCAAGCAAGUUGAAUUCCCUCUGUGACUUUUGGAUGUGCAUUGACCUCUGUUUUGCUAAGUGGUGCUGCCCACAGAACUCCAGAGAUCCAGCUGAGAGAGGAACAAGGUAAAAAACAAAACAAAACAAAACAAAACAAAACAAAACAGAAA